rnacentral:rRNA from 1 species
GAUGAACGCUGGCGGCGUGCCUAAUACAUGCAAGGUCGAACGAGGUGCUUUUGUAGCAAUACGAAAGUAUCCUAGUGGCGAACGGGUGAGUAACGCGGUUGGUGACCUACCCCAAAGUGUGGGAUAACCAGUUCGAAAGAACUGCUAAUACCGCAUGUGGUUAUCGGGUUUAGAAACUGAUAACUAAAGGAGCAAUUCGCUUUGGGAGGGACCUGCGUCCCAUCAGCUAGUUGGUGAGGUAACGGCUCACCAAGGCUACGACGGGUAGGGGGACCUGAGAGGGUGGCCCCCCCACAAUGGAACUGAAACACGGUCCAUACACCUACGGGUGGCAGCA